AAGAAUUACCUGCAAUUCUUAGAAGAACCUUCAAUCUGCGAUAAUGAAAUUUGUUUUCUUCUUGCUGUUGGCCAUGGCUGUGUUGAUGUACUGUGCAGAUGCUAGCAGUGAGAGUGAGAAAAGUGAGAGUGAAGAAAGUGAGAGUGAGAGCGAAGAAAGCCGUAGUAGAGGAAGUGGUAGUGGCGAAAGUGGUAGUGACGAAGACAGCGAUGAACGCAAACGUUGACGACUGUUGGAGAAAAUCGAAAAUGGCCUGUGUUCAUCUCCCUGAUGUGCAUUGGAUAAAUAUGGAAAAUAAAAUUUUCUAAAAGCAUA
rnacentral:lncRNA from 1 species